GAUGAACGCUAGCGGCAGGCCUAACACAUGCAAGUCGAGGGAGAGGUUAUCUUCGGGUAACCAAAACCGGCGCACGGGUGCGUAACGCGUAUACAAUCUGCCCUUCACAUAGGGAUAGCCCGAAGAAAUUUGGAUUAAUACCUAAUGGUAUAUAAGAGCGGCAUCGUUUUUAUAUUAAAGCUACGGUGGUGAAAGAUGAGUAUGCGUUCUAUUAGCUAGUUGGAGAGGUAACGGCUCCCCAAGGCGACGAUAGAUAGGGGUUCUGAGAGGGAUGUCCCCCACACUGGUACUGAGAUACGGACCAGACUCCUACGGGAGGCAGCAGUGAGGAAUAUUGGACAAUGGUCGGAAGACUGAUCCAGCCAUGCCGCGUGCAGGAUGAAGGUCCUAUGGAUUGUAAACUGCUUUUGUAAGGGAAGAAUAAGGGGUACGUGUACUUUGAUGACGGUACCUUACGAAUAAGCAUCGGCUAACUCCGUGCCAGCAGCCGCGGUAAUACGGAGGAUGCGAGCGUUAUCCGGAAUCAUUGGGUUUAAAGGGUCCGUAGGCGGGCUGAUAAGUCAGAGGUGAAAGCGCUUAGCUCAACUAAGCAACUGCCUUUGAAACUGUCAGUCUUGAAUGAUUGUGAAGUAGUUGGAAUGUGUAGUGUAGCGGUGAAAUGCUUAGAUAUUACACAGAACACCGAUAGCGAAGGCAUAUUACUAACAAUUUAUUGACGCUGAUGGACGAAAGCGUGGGGAGCGAACAGG
rnacentral:rRNA from 1 species